rnacentral:rRNA from 1 species
UACGUAGGGAGCAAGCGUUGUCCGGAUUCAUUGGGCGUAAAGAGCGUGUAGGCGGCCAGGUAGGUCGGUUGUGAAAACUGGAGGCUCAACCUUCAGACGUCGACCGAAACCAUCUGGCUAGAGUCCGGGAGAGGAGAGUGGAAUUCCUGGUGUAGCGGUGAAAUGCGCAGAUAUCAGGAAGAACACCGGUGGCGAAGGCGGCUUGCUGGGCCAGUUCUGACGCUGAGGAGCGAAAGCGUGGGGAGCGAACAGG